rnacentral:rRNA from 1 species
CGCUAGCGGCGGGCNUAAUACAUGCAAGUCGAGGGGUAUGGGAGGCUUGCUUCCCAGAGACCGGCGCACGGGUGCGUAACGCGUAUGCAACCUGCCCCCUACACGGGGAUAGCCCGAAGAAAUUCGGAUUAAUACCCGAUGGCACCGCGACAUGGAUUCAUGAUGCGGUUAAAGAUUUAUCGGUAGGGGAUGGGCAUGCGUCUGAUUAGCUAGUUGGCGGGGUAACGGCCCACCAAGGCUACGAUCAGUAGGGGUUCUGAGAGGAUGAUCCCCCACACCGGUACUGAGACACGGACCGGACUCCUACGGGAGGCAGCAGUAAGGAAUAUCGGUCAAUGGGCGAGAGCCUGAACCAGCCACGCCGCGUGCAGGAAGAAUGCCCUAUGGGUUGUAAACUGCUUUUACACGGGAAGAACGGCCCUCUUGCGAGAGGGAUUGACGGUACCGUGGGAAUAAGCAUCGGCUAACUCCGUGCCAGCAGCCGCGGUAAUACGGAGGAUGCAAGCGUUAUCCGGAUUCAUUGGGUUUAAAGGGUGCGUAGGCGGACUUAUAAGUCAGGGGUGAAAUCCGGCAGCUCAACUGUCGAACUGCCUCUGAUACUGUGGGUCUUGAGUUAAGUUGAGGCAGGCGGAAUAUGACAUGUAGCGGUGAAAUGCAUAGAUAUGUCAUAGAACACCGAUAGCGAAGGCAGCCUGCCAAACUUAUACUGACGCUGAUGCACGAAAGCGUGGGUAGCGAACAGGAUUAGAUACCCUGGUAGUCCACGCCGUAAACGAUG